rnacentral:rRNA from 1 species
GACGAACGCUGGCGGCGCGCUUAACACAUGCAAGUCGAGCGAGAACCAGGCCUUCGGGCCUGGGGGAAGCGGCGAACGGGUGAGUAACACGGGGGCAACCCACCCUUGGUACUGGGAUAGCCCGGGGAAACCCGGAUUAAUACCGGAUGGCCCAGCAGCUCUUCGGGGCGGCUGGAAAAGGUAGCUUCGGCCUCCGACCAAGGACGGGCCCGCGGCGGAUUAGCUUGUUGGUGAGGUAACGGCUCACCAAGGCGACGAUCCGUAGCUGGUCUGAGAGGACGAACCGCCACACUGGGACUGAGACACAGGCCAGACUCCUACGGGAGGCAGCAGUGGGGAAUCUUGCGCAAUGGGCGAAAGCCUGACGCAGCGACGCCGCGUGGGGGAAGAAGGCUUUCGGGUUGUAAACCCCUUUCAGGAGGGACGAAGCCACUCGGGUGAAUAGCCCAGAGGGUGACGGUACCUCCAGAAGAAGCCCCGGCUAACUACGUGCCAGCAGCCGCCGUAAUAC